CCAAAAUCACACAUCUUCUCUUCGAAAAUCCACCAUUUAACCAGAAUGUUGUGCAGUUUCUCUUGGAAAUACCCCAUUUAACCUCCAAAUCAUGCAUUUUCUCCCGGAAAAUCCCCCAUUUACCCCCAAAUCAUGCAUUUUCUCUUCCAGAAUACCCCCUUAACCCUAAAAUCACGCAUUUUCUCUUGGAAAAUCCACCAUUUCAGGAAAUCCUCCAUGUAACCCAAAAAUGAUGCAUUU
rnacentral:lncRNA from 1 species